CGGUGCUGUCCGGUCCGGCCUGCCUGCGUAGCUUCCCAGAGCCGCCGGGCCAGAAGCCGGCUCCGGUCUACCCCGUAAACCCUGCCCGGCCUCGUCGCCUCCGAGCCCCCGCCCGGCAGCCCCGAGUGCCGCCCCAGUUCCCUAACUCCGCGGGUGAUAACAGCGCCCAAGUUCCUGCGCUUUUUUUUAAAGUCAAUUCAUGACUUGGUCUUGAGGAACUUGGGGUCUGGAAGAAAAGAAGCCGAAAAUAGCCGAAGGGAUCAAUAUGUAUCACUUCCGGUCACUUCACCUGUGUCCCUGAAGGUACACGACCAUCCUUGUUCCCCUCAUCUGGCUCCCAUCACUGCCGUGAGGUCAGCUGUCACCUGUGGUUCUGAGCCCAGCCUGUACCUGUGGGACCCAGGCCCACUUCCUGAUUCCCUUGUCCCCACAGCUCAAGGGCCUUGCAGCACGUGAAGCUCAAAGUGCCUAAGGCUAGCACUGAUCACUGAGCUCUUGCUCUUGUCCCUUCUGAUUUCCCCCCUGUGCCUGGGGGGACCACCUCUGGCCUCAUGUGCUGGGCUCGGCCCAGUUCAGCUCUUGCUUGCUCACCUCCAGACCCCACAUCCAGGCAGUGACGUUGAGGGAGUGGAGACUCUCUGUUAUGUUCCAGAUCUAAAAUGUCCCCAGAAGUCUCACAAAUACAGAAAUGAUUGGAUAGUGGAUGCGCUAUACUCAUCAGUGGUUUCAUCCAAGGAUGAGUUCCUGGCUGAAUAUGCUGUUAGGGAGGGAGGGCCUGUUUGGAGGCAGGGCACUUCGGAAAUGGUCUGGAAGGGUAUAUUCUUGUCCUGUUUCCUGGCUGCCAUGGAUUGAGCAGCUCUCCUCUGCCAUGCUGUUUCUGCCUUGGAGCCAGCUGACCAUGGACUGAAUCCUCUGAAACGCGAGCCAAAGUGAAUCUGUCCUCCUGGGAGUUCCAGGCAUCAGUGGCUGAUAGCCUUGCUGUGAUGCUCUUUCCAUUCCACUGCUGUGCUGGGUCCCAUCAUUUCUUGGCCUCUGUUUUCCUUCCAAAGCAUUACACACAGGCUGCUGCUCUACCCUCACUCUCCUGGGCCUGGCUGACCCGCUGCAAGCCUUGCCUCAGCUUGUGCCUGCCGUUCUCUUGCAAAGGUCAGAAAGAUGC
rnacentral:lncRNA from 1 species